GUCCACGCCGUAAACUAUGGAUGCUAGCUGUUAGAGGUAUCGACCCCUCUAGUAGCGAAGCUAACGCGUUAAGCAUCCCGCCUGUGGAGUACGAGCGCAAGCUUAAAACAUAAAGGAAUUGACGGGGACCCCGCACAAGCGGUGGAGCGUGUUCUUUAAUUCGAAGGUAAGCGAAGAACCUUACCAAGGUUUGACAUCCUGCGAAUUUCUCCGAAAGGAGAGAGUGCUUUUAUUAGAGCGCAGUGACAGGUGUUGCAUGGCCGUCGU
rnacentral:rRNA from 1 species